rnacentral:rRNA from 1 species
CCUACGGGAGGCAGCAGCAAGGAAUUUUCGGCAAUGGGCGCAAGCCUGACCGAGCAACGCCGCGUGCAGGAUGACGGCCUUCGGGUUGUAAACUGCUUUUGAGGGGGAUGACUUGGACAGUACCCUUCGAAUCAGCCCCGGCUAACUCUGUGCCAGCAGCCGCGGUAAUACAGAGGGGGCAAGCGUUGUCCGGAUUUACUGGGCGUAAAGCGGACGUAGGCGGCAGUGCAGGUGGGGUGUAACACCUCCCGGCUUAACCGGGAGCGGCCAUCCCAAACCGUAUUGCUCGAGCCGUGCAGAGGGUGGUGGAAUUGCCGGUGUAGUGGUGAAAUGCGUAGAGAUCGGCAGGAACACCAAGGGCGAAAGCAGCCACCUGGGCACGGGCUGACGCUGUGGUCCGACAGCGUGGGGAGCGAACAGGAUUAGAUACCCCUGUAGUC